AGCACUUACAGAUGGGAAAGAAGCAGCUGGAGCCUUAUGUUUCCUUUUUCCCCAGCCUCAACUCCUGAUAGCCAUACGAGGGACACCAAAGCUGCGGCAGCCCAACCGAUUCUCGUCUUCCCUGCGUAACUUCCUGAGGCACUGCCUGCGGACAGACGCGGCACGGCGCUGGUCUGCCAAGGAGCUCCUGCAGCAUCCAUUUGUAACAUCAGCCAAGCCAGCGUCCACCCUGGUACCACUCAUCAACUCAGUGAAGAAGGAGAAGAAGAAGAAGACAAGAAUCUAACAGUCAAGAUAUUUUUGCCAUAACCAAGUUAGAGUAGGAUUGUAGAGUAGGACUCUAGAGUAGGAUUAUUGAGUUGUUUUGUAGUAUAGGUUUAUAGAGUAGGAUUGGAAUUAAAUAAAGUUUCUGAAGCAUCAA